rnacentral:rRNA from 1 species
GACGAACGCUGGCGGCGUGCUUAACACAUGCAAGUCGAACGGUGAAGCGGAGCUUGCUCCGCGGAUCAGUGGCGAACGGGUGAGUAACACGUGAGUAACCUGCCCUUGACUCUGGGAUAACCUCCCGAAAGGGAAGCUAAUACCGGAUAUGAAUCUCCUCGGCAUCGAAGAGAUUGGAAAGAAUUUCGGUCAAGGAUGGACUCGCGGCCUAUCAGCUUGUUGGUGGGGUAACGGCCCACCAAGGCGACGACGGGUAGCCGGCCUGAGAGGGCGACCGGCCACACUGGGACUGAGACACGGCCCAGACUCCUACGGGAGGCAGCAGUGGGGAAUAUUGCACAAUGGGCGCAAGCCUGAUGCAGCGACGCCGCGUGAGGGAUGAAGGCCUUCGGGUUGUAAACCUCUUUCAGCAGGGAAGAAGCGAAAGUGACGGUACCUGCAGAAGAAGCACCGGCUAACUACGUGCCAGCAGCCGCCGUAAGAC